AGCUUCACACACUGGCAGUAUCAUAGCCAAUGAGGUUAAACUGAGGUGCAAUUAUUGCUAAUUGAAACUUUUCCCAUUAGUCUGUCUACCAUCUUCAGGUUCAAUCCUUGCACCUGACUUCUUGCUAAUCCUGCAAUAGA